rnacentral:rRNA from 1 species
AUGAACGCUAGCUACAGGCUUAACACAUGCAAGUCGAGGGGAAACGACAUCGAAAGCUUGCUUUUGAUGGGCGUCGACCGGCGCACGGGUGAUUAACGCGUAUCCAACCUGCCCAUCACUUGGGAAUAACCUUGCGAAAGUAAGACUAAUACCCAAUGACAUCCCACGAAGACAUCUGAAUGGGAUUAAAGAUUUAUCGGUGAUGGAUGGGGAUGCGUCUGAUUAGCUUGUUGGCGGGGUAACGGCCCACCAAGGCAACGAUCAGUAGGGGUUCUGAGAGGAAGGUCCCCCACAUUGGAACUGAGACACGGUCCAAACUCCUACGGGAGGCAGCAGUGAGGAAUAUUGGUCAAUGGGCGAGAGCCUGAACCAGCCAAGUAGCGUGCAGGAUGACGGCCCUAUGGGUUGUAAACUGCUUUUAUAAGGGAAUAAAGUGGGUCUCGUGAGACUUUUUGCAUGUACCUUAUGAAUAAGGACCGGCUAAUUCCGUG